CAUCUGUCUGUCUGUCUCUUUCCAUCCACAUCUGUCUGUCUGUCUCUUCCAUCCACAUCGGUCUGUCUGUCGGUCGGUCACAAGCCCCCCAGCGAGUGUGUUUGGGGUUGAUUUGAGAAAGACUAUGCAAACUGUUCUGUGCUUUAGGGUCAGCUGUUGUUCAGGUGAAUGAAUACAUCCAUAAAAUGGUUCUCAGAUUCAUUUCUACUUGAUUUUUAAAAGCAUUGCAUCGCUUGUGCAAAACAUGGACUCUGAAUCCCUACAACCCAUCAGGACCAUCAGAGAACAUAUCAGGAGACAAAACAUGGACUCUGAAUCCCUACAACCCAUCAGGACCAUCAGAGAACAUAUCAGGAGACAAAACAUGGACUCUGAAUCCCUACAACCCAUCAGGACCAUCAGAGAACAUAUCAGGAGACAAAACAUGGACUCUGAAUCCCUACAACCCAUCAGGACCAUCAGAGAACAUAUCAGGAGACAAAACAUGGACUCUGAAUCCCUACAACCCAUCAGGACCAUCAGAGAACAUAUCAGGAGACAAAACAUGGACUCUGAAUCCCUACAACCCAUCAGGACCAUCAGAGAACAUAUCAGGAGACAAAACAUGGACUCUGAAUCCCUACAACCCAUCAGGACCAUCAGAGAACAUAUCAGGAGACAAAACAUGGACUCUGAAUCCCUACAACCCAUCAGGACCAUCAGAGAACAUAUCAGGAGACAAAACAUGGACUCUGAAUCCCUACAACCCAUCAGGACCAUCAGAGAACAUAUCAGGAGACAAAACAUGGACUCUGAAUCCCUACAACCCAUCAGGACCAUCAGAGAACAUAUCAGGAGACAAAACAUGGACUCUGAAUCCCUACAACCCAUCAGGACCAUCAGAGAACAUAUCAGGAGACAAAACAUGGACUCCAUUUAGAUGGGUCAGGGUGUAAUAAGGGUACGAGUCAGUUCAUUUAGAUGGGUCAGGGUGUAAUAAGGGUACGAGUCAGUUCAUUUAGAUGGGUCAGGGUGUAAUAAGGGUACGAGUCAGUUCAUUUAGAUGGGUCAGGGUGUAAUAAGGGUACGAGUCAGUUCAUUUAGAUGGGUCAGGGUGUAAUAAAGGUACGAGUCAGUUCAUUUAGAAGGGUCAGGGUGUAAUAAGGGUACGAGUCAGUUCAUUUAGAUGGGUCAGGGUGUAAUAAGGGUACGAGUCAGUUCAUUUAGAUGGGUCAGGGUGUAAUAAGGGUACGAGUCAGUUCAUUUAGAUGGGUCAGGGUGUACUAAGGGUACGAGUCAGUUCAUUUAGAUGGGUCAGGGUGUAAUAAGGGUACGAGUCAGUUCAUUUAGAUGGGUCAGGGUGUAAUAAGGGUACGAGUCAGUUCAUUUAGAUGGGUCAGGGUGUAAUAAGGGUACGAGUCAGUUCAUUUAGAUGGGUCAGGGUGUAAUAAGGGUACGAGUCAGUUCAUUUAGAUGGGUCAGGGUGUAAUAAGGGUACAAGUCAGUUCAUUUAGAUGGGUCAGGGUGUAAUAAGGGUACGAGUCAGUUCAUUUAGAUGGGUCAGGGUGUAAUAAGGGUACGAGUCAGUUCAUUUAGAUGGGUCAGGGUGUAAUAAGGGUACGAGUCAGUUCAUUUAGAUGGGUCAGGGUGUAAUAAGGGUACGAGUCAGUUCAUUUAGAUGGGUCAGGGUGUAAUAAGGGUACGAGUCAGUUCAUUUAGAUGGGUCAGGGUGUAAUAAGGGUACGAGUCAGUUCAUUUAGAUGGGUCAGGGUGUAAUAAGGGUACGAGUCAGUUCAUUUAGAUGGGUCAGGGUGUAA